CGGUGGUCCCACCUGACCCCAUGCCGAACUCAGCAGUGAAACGCCGUAGCGCCGAUGGUAGUGUGGGGUCUCCCCAUGUGAGAGUAGGACACUGCCAGGC
rnacentral:rRNA from 1 species